AUUUUUCAGCAUUUUGGUUAAGAUCAAACGUAGUAUCAGUUCUUAUUAGUUUAAUAUAAGAAUGUAGACCAAUAUUUCACACAAUUUAAAUUAAAUUUUUUAAGAAGAGGGCUCACUUACAAUAGUUUGCUAUUAACACUAUCGCGUGUAACUUAAGCGUUGAACUACUGCUCCUGUCCCACGAACCCACC